UAGGGAAUCUUCCGCAAUGGACGCAAGUCUGACGGAGCAACGCCGCGUGAGUGAAGAAGGAUUUCGGUUCGUAAAACUCUGUUGUUAGAGAAGAACAGCGCAUAGAGUAACUGUUAUGCGUGUGACGGUAUCUAACCAGAAAGCCACGGCUAACUACGUGCCAGCAGCCGCGGUAAUACGUAGGUGGCAAGCGUUGUCCGGAUUUAUUGGGCGUAAAGCGAGCGCAGGCGGUCAAUUAAGUCUGAUGUGAAAGCCCCCGGCUCAACCGGGGAGGGUCAUUGGAAACGGGUUGACUUGAGUGCAGAAGAGGAGAGGGGAAUUCCAUGUGUAGCGGUGAAAUGCGUAGAUAUAUGGAGGAACACCAGUGGCGAAGGCGACACUCUGGUCUGUAACUGACGCUGAGGCUCGAAAGCGUGGGUAGCAAACAGG
rnacentral:rRNA from 1 species